GACGAACGCUGGCGGCGUGCUUAACACAUGCAAGUCGAACGGAAAGGCCCUGCUUUUGUGGGGUGCUCGAGUGGCGAACGGGUGAGUAACACGUGAGUAACCUGCCCUUGACUUUGGGAUAACUUCAGGAAACUGGGGCUAAUACCGGAUAGGAGCUCCUGCUGCAUGGUGGGGGUUGGAAAGUUUCGGCGGUUGGGGAUGGACUCGCGGCUUAUCAGCUUGUUGGUGGGGUAGUGGCUUACCAAGGCUUUGACGGGUAGCCGGCCUGAGAGGGUGACCGGCCACAUGGGAACGGGGAUACGGCCCAGACUCCUCCGGGGGGCAGCGGUGGGGAUUAUUGCACAAUGGGCGGAGGCCGGAUGCAGCAACGCGGGGUCCGGGAUGACGGCCUUCGGUUGGUAACCGGCUUUCGCCGGUGACGAGGCGUGGGUGACGGUAAUGGUUAAAGAAGCACCGGCUACUACGUG
rnacentral:rRNA from 1 species